rnacentral:rRNA from 1 species
GACGAACGCUGGCGGCGUGCUUAACACAUGCAAGUCGAGCGGUAAGGCCCUUUCGGGGGUACACGAGCGGCGAACGGGUGAGUAACACGUGGGUGACCUGCCCUCAGCUCUGGGAUAAGCCUGGGAAACCGGGUCUAAUACUGGAUAUGACUCCAUGACGCAUGUUGUGGGGUGGAAAGCCUUGUGCGGCUGAGGAUGGGCCCGCGGCCUAUCAGCUUGUUGGUGGGGUGANGGCCUACCAAGGCGACGACGGGUAGCCGGCCUGAGAGGGCGACCGGCCACACUGGGACUGAGACACGGCCCAGACUCCUACGGGAGGCAGCAGUGGGGAAUAUUGGACAAUGGGGGCAACCCUGAUCCAGCAAUGCCGCGUGAGUGAUGAAGGCC